rnacentral:rRNA from 1 species
UGGAGAGUUUGAUCCUGGCUCAGAUUGAACGCUGGCGGCAGGCCUAACACAUGCAAGUCGAACGGUAGCAGGGAGCAGCUUGCUCUCGGGUGACGAGUGGCGGACGGGUGAGUAAUGUCUGGGAAACUGCCUGAUGGAGGGGGAUAACUACUGGAAACGGUAGCUAAUACCGCAUAACGUCGCAAGACCAAAGAGGGGGACCUUCGGGCCUCUUGCCAUCAGAUGUGCCCAGAUGGGAUUAGCUAGUAGGUGGGGUAACGGCUCACCUAGGCGACGAUCCCUAGCUGGUCUGAGAGGAUGACCAGCCACACUGGAACUGAGACACGGUCCAGACUCCUACGGGAGGCAGCAGUGGGGAAUAUUGCACAAUGGGCGCAAGCCUGAUGCAGCCAUGCCGCGUGUAUGAAGAAGGCCUUCGGGUUGUAAAGUACUUUCAGCGGGGAGGAAGGUGAUGUGGUUAAUAACCGCAGCAAUUGACGUUACCCGCAGAAGAAGCACCGGCUAACUCCGUGCCAGCACCCGCGGUA